UGGAGACACCUCUUCUGUAGAGUCUUUUCUGCAAACCUAGAUCUUUGUAUACAGGAUCACCAGAAUGUGAUCUGGAUUUUGUGACUGGAGUUUGCAGAAGAGUUUUCAGAAACUCAAUAACAAGAGCUACAAGCUACAAACUGAAUCUUAGAGGAGUUCAACGUGAAGACGAGGAUAUGCUACACUAUGGAAGCAUUAGCAGAAAGCUAUCUAGAAUGCCUGGACUUACCCCCAGUCCCACUUUACCAUAGGAACCUGAGCAUACAGCAGCUCCUCUCCACUGUGCGUGCACAGGCUGAGAAGUCUCUUCAGGAAUCUCUCCACUGGAUUUGGCCAACCCGUGUCCCUUAGUUUUUCACUGAAGCAGACUUAAGGCUAGACACUUAAUAGAUACAUCUGUUAUUUGGAAUUCAGAUGUUUGCAGAUAUAGGAGUGGGAUUUACAGCUGCAAAAGAGAGCAAGUUUUAAAAGACACCUAAACCACCUUUUGUGGAUCCUGCCGUUUAUGAACACCCAAACGCAUACCUACUCACUUGGACAAAGGCAACAUAUCCAAAAGCAAAUUGAAUGGAUUGCACUGCCUGCUUUUAGGAAAAGAAUGCAUUUAUUCUUCAUACAAAAUUGAAAUUUUCUCUCUGUUUAGUUAUGAAACAUCAAUUUAAACUUUAUAACAUAUUCACAUAUUUACAUAAGCAGCUUCAGACCUCUCUUGUUUGAAUAAAUGUUCACCUUUGCUGACAUGACAAGACAGUGGGCUGCAAUACAGGCCAGAGGAGCUAUAUUUAAAUUCCUGGGGUGGGGAGGAAGUGCAAUCGAUGAAUCACUUGGAAAC